AAUUAGAACAAGCGCAGCCGUGUCACAUGUCAGUUUGUGUCUGGCGGUGCUAGUGCGCAUGUGUUGACUUUCUGCUUUUAACAACCCAUUCGCCCAGUUGUGUGGAACGUUUUGCUGAAUAUUGUAUGCUCAUCAGAUGCAGUUUGGUGCUUUCUCAUGCCAAAGACCAUCUGAGUAGUGAAAAUUAUAUCUGGUGAGAUCAUCUCAAAGGACAGAAGGAGUGUUGGGCUGAAUGUCAACACAACAUCCCUUUUCUCUUGAAUGAAGAAGAAAAUUGCCUGAGACAACAGAAAGUCCUGGAACAAUGGCAUCACUCUUGCUGCGGAGAGUGCUAUUAUCUAUAGCAAAACCUGUAUCAUUUUUUGGACACCAGUCAGUAAAGUUUUCCUCCAUUCCAACCAUAAUGGAUGUUUUUACACAGCCACUAAUUCAGAGGAGCAUUUCAGGAUUUAAAGGUUCUCCGUUUUUAGCUGACAGUCAUCUCCCAUUAGUACAGCAAACCUCUGGAAUGAAAACGAAAACUGCACUCAAAAAGCGAUGCAAAGACUGUUAUUUUGUGAGAAGGCGUGGAAGGCUAUUUGUGUACUGCAAAACCAAUGGGAAGCAUAAGCAGAGACAAGGCUAAUUUGCCACUUUUUUAUAGCACAUAGAACCAUAUGUUAUAGAGGCUUAAUAUGGUUUUCAACAUACAAAUAAAAAAUCAAUUUGCAGAAAA